rnacentral:rRNA from 1 species
UACGAAGGGGGCUAGCGUUGCUCGGAAUCACUGGGCGUAAAGCGCACGUAGGCGGCUUCUUAAGUCAGGGGUGAAAUCCUGGAGCUCAACUCCAGAACUGCCUUUGAUACUGGCGACCUUGAGUCCGGGAGAGGUGAGUGGAAUUCCGAGUGUAGAGGUGAAAUUCGUAGAUAUUCGGAAGAACACCAGUGGCGAAGGCGACUCACUGGACACAUAUUGACGCUGAGGCGCGAAAGCGUGGGGAGCAAACAGG